CACACCCGUUCCCAUGCCGAACACGGAAGUUAAGCUCUUCAGCGCCGAUGGUAGUUGGGGGAUCUCCCCCUGUGAGAGUAGGACGUCGCCAGGC
rnacentral:rRNA from 1 species